CAUAGAAGCCCGGAUGGGGAUCAUUUGUCGAGAAAUCUUGACCGAGACCUGCAACAGGAGUUCAGGGUGGAAGUCCGGCUCCCGUGGGAGUCCAGACGAAGUCUUCCUACAGUUGAAGUCGGGGACGAAGUCCGACUCCCGUAGGAAUUCGGACGAAGUUUACCUGCAGUCAGAGUCGGGGAUGAAGUCCAACUCCCGUAGGAGUCCAGACGAAGUCUUCCUGCAGUUGGAGUCAGAGACGAAGUCUGGCUCCCAUGGGAGCCCGGACGAAGUCUUCCUGCAGUCGGAACUAGGGACGGAGUCCGG
rnacentral:lncRNA from 1 species